GAUUGAGGCGGCGCCCAAGUUCCUGAAGAACGGUGAUGCCGGGUUCGUCAAGAUGAUCCCCACCAAGCCCAUGGUGGUGGAAACCUUUGCCCAGUACCCUCCCCUGGGCCGGUUUGCUGUGCGCGACAUGAGGCAGACGGUUGCCGUGGGCGUUAUCAAGGCCGUGGAGAAGAAGGAUCCGACCGGCGCCAAGGUGACCAAGGCUGCGGCCAAGAAGAAAUGAGAUGGUGUCAGGUUCUUUACUGCAUCUAUGGUGGUGGUGGCGGUGGCGGUAUUUGGUGGUGGUGAUAGUUGUUCUAGUCGUUUUGAGAACUUGUUAAGCUUCGGUUAUUUGUGUCGAGCAGUGUUGGAACUGCUUAUUGCUCUGGUCAUUGUAUCGUUCGGUUGUGUUGGUGGAACUAUGUCAGUUGAUGUUGCUACUAAAUAUAGUCGUCAUGUUUGGAGUCGUUUUAUAUCAGUUGAUCAUGUUU
rnacentral:lncRNA from 1 species